rnacentral:rRNA from 1 species
CUACGGGUGGCUCCAGUGAGGAAUAUUGCACAAUGGGGGGAACCCUGAUGCAGCAACGCCGCGUGGAGGAUGACGCAUUUCGGUGUGUAAACUCCUUUUAUAUGUCAAGAAAAUGACGGUAGCAUAUGAAUAAACACCGGCUAACUCCGUGCCAGCAGCCGCGGUAAUACGGAGGGUGCAAGCGUUACUCGGAUUCACUGGGCGUAAAGGACGCGUAGGCGGGUUGGAAAGUCAGGUGUGAAAUCCUACAGCUUAACUGUAGAACUGCACUUGAAACUUCUAAUAUAGAGUAUGGGAGGGGGAGAUGGAAUUAGUGGUGUAGGGGUAAAAUCCGUAGAUAUCACUAGGAAUACCUAAAGCGAAGGCGAUCUCCUGGAACAUUACUGACGCUAAGGCGUGAAAGCGUGGGGAGCAAACAGGAUUAGAUACCCGCGUAGUC